rnacentral:lncRNA from 1 species
GGGUUCUUGAUAUGGAGGCCACACUCAUUUCAUCCCCGGCCAUGUUACAGAAUCAGAGAUUAAUUAAUUGUUACUCCAUUUUCCACAGCUUUAUUAUAUAUAUCCAAGAAACUAGGAAAUUCAAAAUUGAUGCAAAUUAUAAUUGAAGUUAUAUAGAGUCUAAAUCACCAAGUCUGCUUAUAGAAGAACAAAGAACCAGUUAUAUAUAAUCGUAAAGGGCUAUUUGGGACUUGGUAUCCCCAGCUCAAAAGGAUCAAGAAAAAUUCAACUGAUGAUUAAUCUAUUUACUGAACCAAAUAUGAUUGGAUUUUAGCUUUCCUCAACAAAUCUAAAUGAUAACGUAUAGGACAAUGACAAAGACAGAAAAUAAUUUAAUUGUCUUCCUAUAUUAAAUGAAAAACUGGAGAUCAGCUCAUUCAACAUUAAUUAUCACUUAUAAAGAAAAAUUCAGAUUUAUGAUAGUGAUAUCCAUAAGGAAUCAUUUAAGACUACCCAUCACUACUAAACACAUGCAUACAAACAAAAUCUCUAAUGAGCAAGUGUGUGAGAAAGAAAAAUCUUGUGUACUUCGUUCAUUAAUUCUUUUCCCAUUUCAGUUGAACUGUUCCACUUUCCUCCCUCAAGCAAACUAAAACGCCAUCAUCUUAAUCACACGGCAUAUACAAAAACCCCAGAAUCAUCAAAACAGAAAAGAGGGGAAUGCAAAUGAAGAUUUUCCCAAACAGAUUCAACAAGUUUUUUUUUUUGUUUUUUUUUUAUUUUUUAUAAUUUAGAUUGGAAUAUGUAAACUUACAUAAUAAAAGAAGACAAUCAAUUCAAUUCAGAAAAAAAAAUUAUGUUGGAACUGAAAAUAAUAUAAUGAGUAUAUGUUGAAGUUAGAUUGUAAAUAUGUAUGUUUUAGUUUUAUAUAUUGAAAUAAACCCACAUCCCAAGUUAUUGAGAAAUAAAAAAAUUUCUGAACUUUAUAUAAUGGGAAUCAUUUACUAACCCUAAAAGACAAAGGGAAUUGUAUGAAUAUAUUAUCAAGUGCAAUGCACAUGCAAUUACCUUUGCACAUUCAUUUUCUAUAUACCAAAUAUAUUUGUCUCAUUUUAAUUUUUGAAUAAAAUCUUCAGAGUUGCUAGUAACAAACAUUGUAAGUAUCCCCCCGAAAAUGAAUUAUUAGUAACUCAGUAACAAACUCAAAUCCAUUUUAUUGUAUCCUGAAAAUUAAUUAUUUUAUAUAGUGUUUUACAGGUCUCAAAUCCAAAUUAUUUUUAAUUUUAAUUUUAUUUUAUAUACUAGUGUUCCAACAGUGUAAGACAAUCAACCCACAAGUUUAGGAAUAGACAAUCAACUAACCUUUUUACACAUGUCAAUAUCUAAGCCAAUCUCUGACUUAAGAUAGCCACGUGUCAUGUUUUUGGCGAGACUUGUACUAAUUGUUUUUAUGCCUAUACACAACAUAUUAAAACAAAAUACCAUUAUUAAAAAAUUCCUUUGCCUUUCUUCCUCUUUUUAUGUACGGAUGGAUGGACAAUACAUAUAGGCCGGAUAGGGAUUUAAGAUUCUUCCAACCCUAUUUCAAUUCAUCCCAGUCAAUAUUCUCUCGCUUUCAAUCAUCAUCCCCGGCCGAAAAUCCAUUGAAAUUAUCCCAAACCCAUUUCUUUCUAUCCCAAAUUCAAUUCUUUCUAACCCAAAUUCAAUUCAUCCAAAUAACACAAACUUUAAAAUUUCUCACAAGUUAUUUGAUUUGAACAAAAUCAGAACACAAAAGCUCGAAAUGAGGAAGUAUAGAAGGGGAAGAAAUGAGAAUGGAUUAGUGAGUUUGGAGGGAUGAGACGAAAAAGUAUAAAAAAAAAAAAAGGAAAGAAAUGAGAAUGGAUUAGUGAGUUUUUUUCUUUAUUUGUGAGUUUCUAAAGAGAGAUGGAAAAAUAUUUUUAUUUUUAAAAUACAUUAUUAUUAUCCUUGCAUAUUUAAUAUGAAAUAAUUUAUUUUGUUUGUUUAGUAUCCUUAAAAUUCUUACUUUUGAGAAAAGAUUCGAGUCAACACCGAAAUUAAUUUUAUUUUUAAAUUCCUUUCUUUCUCCUCUAAAAAUAAACUCACAAGUUUAAAAUUUGAAACGACCCUUUUUCAAAGAAAAAAUAAUUAAAAGCGAGAGAGUAUAAUCGCUUGAAUAAUUAAAGAAAAUAAAGGCGGCAAAAAGUUAUUACCAUCCUUUUGCCGCCGUUGAGCAAGUUCAGAAACGAAAAAGGAGGAGGAGGCAGGAAGUUAAGUUGCCCCCGUCUCGCCGUUGACAGUCUUUGAUCUCGCCGUCGAGCGAGUUCGCCAAAGAAUAAAACAAAAAGGAGGCAGGAAAGAGUCGUCGUCCUCGUCUUUGGUAAUCUUCCUGCAGCUGUUGAAGGUAACUCCCUCAUCUCUGUUGCCAAUUGUCGUUUAAUUUUCAAUCUUCGGAAUAAAGGGUGAUUUACAAAAUUUCCUCAAAACCCUAAACUUUGCUUCGGGUUUUUCGGUUGGCAUAGUUUAUUAUUGGAACCGUGCAUGUGGGAUUCACGACCCUAUAUAUGGUCAUUGGAAGGGAUUGAUAUGGAAGCUAUUUGGGAUGGAGGAGGAAGACGAUUGACAGUACUGCGGUGUAUAAUUCCUUUUCUUUUUU